rnacentral:lncRNA from 1 species
UUCGAAAUUCAAUUCCGCACGCUACCACCGUUGGGAUUUUUGGGAUAAUAUUCGUGGAGGGAGAAAAAGGAAUCGUAUGAAGACAGUACAAGUGGAGGUUUCAAUCUCUUCUCCGUCUCUCUGACGUUUGGGAAUUCUAUCGGAGCAGUCGGAUGAAUAAUUGAAAGAAUUUCCGGGAACCGCUAGAGAUGUUGCUAUCGCUGGCUGAAGACACGUGAGCCCGCUUAGAGGUAAGGGAUGAGUUAUUCACCGUUGGGAUUAGUGAGAACAUGUGUAGGGAUCCUUAGAGGAUUAAAUUGGGAUUUUAUUUUGGGAUGUUUGUUAAAUUGCAAUUUUUCCUUUAUGAUUAUAAAUAAAAUAUUGAUGUCCUGAUGAAAAUUGCUUGAUAAAUUGUGCUCUUGAUAUUUGUAUAUUUGGACCUAUGAUUUGGAUAUAAUUGUGUAAUAUUAUUUGAGGGGUUUUAGUCCUCAUGUUGUGAUAGUCUUUUAUAUACAUUGUUAUAUUGAGGAUAUGAAAUGAUAAUUCAAAUUGUGAGUAUGUGAUGAAUUGUAGAAUAACAUGUUGCUUUGAGAUUGAUUAUUAUAUUGUUAUUGAGAUUGAGUAUAAGUGUAAAGUUGAACAUGUGUUAAUUUGUGAGAUACGUGUAAACAUGUGAUGGUGGAUUGUGACACUAUGAGAUGUGAAAUUGUGAAUGAGUUCUAGUUGUGGAUAAGUGUAUAGUUAACACUUGAUGUGAAAUUACUUGUGUUGUAAGCCAUGAAUUGUACAAUACCCAACCAGCGUUAUCUUGAGAAAAGCGUUGAUGCGCAAUGUUAAAGAGAAAAUGUAGGUUUCUUAUUUAGGAACCAGUGUUAAAUCGUAGCGCAAUUGUGUUGAACGUGUUUAAAACACGAGUGUAAGGUCGUGGGUAUUGUAUAAUUCAUGAGCAGUGUCUGCAUGUAAAAAAAAAAUUAUUUUAGGGGUUGGACCUGAAUCAGGAGGGAGAGGCCCUGACGGACUCUUCGGAGUGUAGGCCUUGGGGGUCACCGGGUUUGAGUGCUCCUUUAAGCCUAUGCUGAUCUCAUAUGGUUGGAGCAUUCUCGCAAAACAUCGUGACCCUGACUGGUCUCCCUAUGAUCUUACUUAGUGAGAGUGACCUGACAAACCCAUUGUGUGGUGUGUCUUGUUAUGUACUCCUAAGCGCCCCAGGGUGGUUUUUCACUGACAUGGUACCACAUUGCAUAUAGAAUUGAGUCUUAGCAUAACUAUUUCAUAUGCUUGCUAAUUGAUGUGUUAUUAUAUCUUGAUCGAAGUGUGGGAUUCUUGUGUAAUGUGAUUGAUAAUUGAGAAGUGAAUUUUGAAUGACGAAGUGGUGAAGUUACGUGAGCUAUGUUUAAGCAAGUGGUAUCUCAUUUAUAUAAUAUGUAUAUUUAAUUGUCUUGUUUCUCUAUUAGUUAGGAAUGUGAUAACUCACUCCCUGUGUGUUGUUGUGUUUGGAUCCUGUGAUGAUCUUGAACUUGUGUUCGGGGGAGCAGAUGAAUAGGUGGAUGACUAUGAAGAACCUCAUGCUAGAGGACACGAGAACACCACGCUCUGAUAGGAUGUGACAUUAGGA